CAUGCAGUCGAGCGGCAGCGACAACAUUGAACCUUCGGGGGAUUUGUUGGGCGGCGAGCGGCGGACGGGUGAGUAAUGCCUGGGAAAUUGCCCUGAUGUGGGGGAUAACCAUUGGAAACGAUGGCUAAUACCGCAUGAUAGCUUCGGCUCAAAGAGGGGGACCUUCGGGCCUCUCGCGUCAGGAUAUGCCCAGGUGGGAUUAGCUAGUUGGUGAGGUAAGGGCUCACCAAGGCGACGAUCCCUAGCUGGUCUGAGAGGAUGAUCAGCCACACUGGAACUGAGACACGGUCCAGACUCCUACGGGAGGCAGCAGUGGGGAAUAUUGCACAAUGGGCGCAAGCCUGAUGCAGCCAUGCCGCGUGUAUGAAGAAGGCCUUCGGGUUGUAAAGUACUUUCAGCAGUGAGGAAGGGGAUAUCGUUAAUAGCGGUACUCUUUGACGUUAGCUGCAGAAGAAGCACCGGCUAACUCCGUGCCAGCAGCCGCGGUAAUACGGAGGGUGCGAGCGUUAAUCGGAAUUACUGGGCGUAAAGCGCAUGCAGGUGGUUUGUUAAGUCAGAUGUGAAAGCCCGGGGCUCAACCUCGGAAUUGCAUUUGAAACUGGCAGGCUAGAGUACUGUAGAGGGGGGUAGAAUUUCAGGUGUAGCGGUGAAAUGCGUAGAGAUCUGAAGGAAUACCGGUGGCGAAGGCGGCCCCCUGGACAGAUACUGACACUCAGAUGCGAAAGCGUGGGGAGCAAACAGGAUUAGAUACCCUGGUAGUCCACGCCGUAAACGAUGUCUACUUGGAGGUUGUGGCCUUGAGCCGUGGCUUUCGGAGCUAACGCGUUAAGUAGACCGCCUGGGGAGUACGGUCGCAAGAUUAAAACUCAAAUGAAUUGACGGGGGCCCGCACAAGCGGUGGAGCAUGUG
rnacentral:rRNA from 1 species